rnacentral:rRNA from 1 species
UCUGAUUAUUGAAAGGUGCUUGCAUCUUGAUUUAAUUUUGAACGAGUGGCGGACGGGUGAGUAACACGUGGGUAACCUGCCCUUAAGUGGGGGAUAACAUUUGGAAACAGAUGCUAAUACCGCAUAAAUCCAAGAACCGCAUGGUUCUUGGCUGAAAGAUGGCGUAAGCUAUCGCUUUUGGAUGGACCCGCGGCGUAUUAGCUAGUUGGUGAGGUAACGGCUCACCAAGGCAAUGAUACGUAGCCGAACUGAGAGGUUGAUCGGCCACAUUGGGACUGAGACACGGCCCAAACUCCUACGGGAGGCAGCAGUAGGGAAUCUUCCACAAUGGACGCAAGUCUGAUGGAGCAACGCCGCGUGAGUGAAGAAGGCUUUCGGGUCGUAAAACUCUGUUGUUGGAGAAGAAUGGUCGGCAGAGUAACUGUUGUCGGCGUGACGGUAUCCAACCAGAAAGCCACGGCUAACUACGUGCCAGCAGCCGCGGUAAUACGUAGGUGGCAAGCGUUAUCCGGAUUUAUUGGGCGUAAAGCGAGCGCAGGCGGUUUUUUAAG